UCUGCACCAUAGUGGCCGUGAAAUACCACGAGACGAUGUCAUGGACGGCGACGUGUUGUCCGGUGGCGGCGGAUAGCCCGACCUGAACCUGCUGAGGAACAAAGUCGCUCAAAUCGUACUCAUAGUUGACAUCAAAUGUCUGCGAGCCGGCGGUGACUUUCACGGAGAUCAUCCUUGUGGCUCCGACGUAGUUGAUCCGCGCAGUCACCUGCUGCCCGAGUAUGGAGUUGUCGACCUUCGUCGUGUUGCUGGAUGCCCUAGAGCCGAAGUCGAUGCCGAUGUGGGGAUAGAGCGGAUCCCACGCGCCGUUGACGUAGGUGUCGAUUUCGACGGCGAAGACCGAGGGGCUGUUGCCGUUGGAGCCAAAGAUUCCGAGGUUGGCUCCGUUGGAGCCAGGGGGGAUGGUGGAACCGACGGGGGCAAUGAAGAAGGCGAGGCCGUCGGCAGGCUCGUUGUCGGCGCCCGGGGUGAUGAUGAAGUUCACAGUGGUUUCGAAGUCGACCUGCCCACCGGACUGCGAGAAUUGGACCGGGUUCGAGUGCAAGACGCGGCCGACUUGUGAGGGCUGUGCGUCUGUGAGGCGGAGGAAGGUGGAGUCCGUCGGGAAAUGGGCGCUGCCUUGAUAGAUGAGAUCUUUCGGCUGGUCGCCCCAGAAGUCGUAGGUGAAGGACGUCGUUUGGGACAACGCCGUGUUGGAAACGGCGAGGAGGAGGGCGAUGGAGGCGAGGAGAGGAGUUAAGGUUUGAACAAGCUGGUUGGCCAUGGCUUAAUUGAUUUAGAUUUAGAUUUAGAGAUGUGGUGGAUGAUGGUGGCCAGGUAUCGAUCUCUUGCACCUAUUUAUACUAGUAUGGUUCAUGCCUGUUAAUAAUUGUAUAUAUCAAUCAAUCAUCGUGCAUCUAUCCCAAAUUAUAUGUCUUAUUAUUCACUAAUUAGAUGGAAUAAAUCCUAAUUAGCAAUCUUAAAAUUACACCGCCAAUGAGGCCUUGCUCUAGUGGUAAAGCUGUGGCACCGAAUAACUUUUCUUUGUGAAAGGUCUUGGGUUCAAUCUCGCCUGCAUGCGGUGAUGUUUGUCCAUUUUAGAUGGUGUGGUAUUCUUGCCUGCGUGCGGUGUUGUAUUAUUUAGUCUUAGGCGUUCUUGCCUGUGUGCAUAUCACUGUGUGACAAUUAAAAGAAUGACUUUAAAAUAAAAGUUAAGCCUUAAAAAUUUAAUCUACAUUCAUAUAUAACUGAAAUUACAUGCAUGUCUAAUUUUUUUAAUAUCAUAACAAGAUAAGAUUUAUUAAAUAAUUCAGAUGCAUAAAUAAAAAGUUAAUCUAUAAACACAGUAUAGAUAUAUUAUCAAUGAUAGGCCGUGUAUAAGUCUUAAUCUGUAAAACUAUAUCAUCCCAGCCUUAAACGACUACCAUUCCUGCUUUCCCAGAGCAACCACACUGUUCCCACCCACAAAGCUUUAAGCAGUACAUGCAUGUCUAAAUAUUAUUUAUAAUUAUCAAUAACAAGAUUAAUGAUUCUAUAUCUCUAUGUUUAUACAUAUAUUCACGUAUGACAUAGUAUAUAUUAGCUAUUAAGUUAAAAACUAAUAAAAUACUACAGUUUUGCAUAGGAUAUAUAUUUAAUUAGUAGUAGGAUAGGACACGUGUAUUAAUUUUAAGGGCAAGUAAUCAAACUUUUGAAUGAUUCAUCAUGCUUAAAAAAAAAAAGAGACCUAGAUAGAUGAUUCAUCAGAUUCAAAAACAAGUAUAAAUAGACUUCGAGUUUGAAAUUUUAAUUAAUUUGCAACAACAAUUCAAACUGACUGUAUUAAGGUAAGUAGUUACAGAUUUCAUACACAUUAUAUGAUUUCGCGCACAUACGUAUGUAUAUAUAAAUAUUUUUUAAAAUCAUAUACUCCCUCCGUCCCCAAAAUAAGUUCCUCUUUGGGGACGGCACGGAUUUUAAGGAAAAGUGGUAAAGUGUAUUAAUAGUGGAGAAAAAUAUGUUAUAAUUAGUAUUGGAAGUUGUGAAAAGGUGAAAAAGUGUUAUAAUUAGUAUUGGGAGUGGUGAAAAAGUGAAAAGUAAGAAUAAAUAAAGUAUUAUUAGUGGUGGGGUAGUUGUCCAAAAAUGGAAAAAAAGAAAGAGGAACUUAUUUGGGGGACAUCCCAAAAUGGAAAAAGAGGAACUUAUUUCAGGGACGGAGGGAGUAUUAUAUAAUAAUUAUAUUUAAGUUUUAUAUUAUUCUUUAUAAACUAUUGUUCCAUUCUAUAUAAUUAGGUGUGGCACGACUAGGACGUAACUUUCGAUUGAAUUUCUCAAGUUAAUUUUCAAGUUCAAGUUUCAGGUGUGAGAUUUAUUUAAAUACAUGUCAUGAUUAUUCAUUGUCCAUUUUAAUAGUAUGUGUUUACCAUAUGUGUUAUGACGCAUAUUUUGAGGACAUCGCUAGGAGCCCAUAAAUAGGGUCCAGGACUUCACCGUCCUUGGAUUGCCACAAUGCGAUUUGAGGUUUAUUUUGAGGAUGUCGUCAGGGGCCCGUAAAUAGGGUCCAGGACUUUAAUAGUCAUUGGGUUGCCACAGUGCGAAUAUUGAAGAUAUAUAUGAAGUGACCGUAUGUGUUACCGUUUCAUUAACGUGGACAAUGAUUGCAUGUUUAAGAGACAAUAACCAAUUUUUCAGACAUUUGUGAACAAAAUGAAGCAUGUUUAGAGAUCCUUAAUAAAGGUGUACGAAAUGAUGGAUAAAUAAGUUUGUGAAACAAAUUUCACCAUACCUAACCCCACAAUUAUUUGCGGUCGAAUUUCCUCGUCACAGGAAAAAGAGAUGAUGACAAAAGGGCAAAAAUUAAUUAACAAAGUAGAAGAUGCAUGACAACUGUAAAAGAAAAAUAAUGCUACUAAUUAAAUAGUCCAAACUUCAUACGUUUCAUAUCAUAAGUGGCAGUUCUAUUUUUUUUUUGCGAAAGUGAACAAAAUAACGAAUAAUUUUUAAAGUAAUAGUAAUAAGGAGAUGUGUUUUGACAGAAAACGACAUGAGCGGCCUAAAAAUAAGAGGGAAAAAGAUAAUCAUAUAAAUAUGGGUUAAUUGCCUCUAAAUACACCACCUUUCCUUGAAUUCUACAAUUGCACAUCACCUUUAAAAUCCGCCCUUAAAUACACCACCUUUCCUUGAGUUCUACAAUUGCACAUCACCUUUAAAUCCGCCCCAAAAUACAUCAUCUUUAUAUUUUUUCUGUUUUUGCACAUGACUAAAAAAUUCUCAAGAAAUAAAUUAAAGUGUUAAUUUAUAAAUUUAAAUAUCUUUUUAGCAGCGAAAACAUAAUAAAAUAAAAUUCUUUAUAAAGUUUAAAAUCAUAUAUAUAUAUAUAUAUAUAUAAGUAUUUUCGUAAAGAAAUAAAUUCUCUAAUAAAUUUUUAGAAAGAACUUGAAUUAAAAAAAUAAACAAGUCAUGACAUUAAGAAAAUAAAAUGAAAUUUUUAUUUUAAUAAAUUUCACACGAAUUCGAUAUAAUUUGGAAUUUAGAGUUACAAUAAUCAGAAGUACCACAUGAAUAAUAUAAUGAGUUUGAAAGAAAUUUUUUUUAAAGAGGUUCGACACGCCCAUUCGACUUUCCACGCGCCUCCAAUGUCAUUUACCUGAAAUAUUAANUAUAUAAGUAUUUUUCGUAAAGAAAUAAAUUCUCUAAUAAAUUUUUAGAAAGAACUUGAUUAAAAAAUAAACAAGACAUGACAUUAAGAAAAUAAAAUGAAACUUUUAUUUUAAUAAAUUUCACACGAAUUCGAUAUAAUUUGGAAUUUAGAGUUACAAUAAUAAAAAGAACCACAUAAAUAAUAUAAUCAGUUUGAAAGAAAUAUAUAUAUAUUUUUUUAAAGAGGUUCGACGCGCCCAUUCGACUCUCCACGCGCUACCAAUGUCAUUACCUGAAAUACUAAAUAUGGGAUAAGCAUACAUAAUAUACUUAGUGUGGGAACAUGCAAUUAUUGUCCACGUUAAUAAAAUAGUAACACAUACGAUCAUAACAUUCAAAACGACACAAUUUUGCCAAUAUGGAAGCCACGUCAUUUAAAGUGGUAACACCCUAAUCUAACUAAAGUGUUAAAUAUAAAUUUAAAGCGGAAAUAUAAUAAAAUAAAGUUCUUUAUAAAAAUAAAUAAAGAAUUUUAUUUUAUUAUAUUUCCGCUGCUAAAAAAGAUAUUUAAAAUUUAUAAAUUAACACUUUAAUUUAUUUCUUGAGGAUUUUUAAGUCAUGUGCAAAAACAGAAAAAAAAUAUAAAGGUGAUGUAUUUUGGGGCGGAUUUAGAAUUCAAGGAAAUGUGGUGUAUUUAGGGGCGGAUUUUAAAGGUGAUGUGCAAUUGUAGAAUUCAAGGAAAGGUGGUGUAUUUAGGGGAAAUUAACCCUAUAAAUAUUCAAAAUCAAACGGAUUGGCAUGUAUUCAUCAUUUUUUAUUUUUUAUUUUGAUAAUUUAACAGUAUUAAAUAAAGAAAUUUAUAGGCUGCGUCCCUUACUGCUUGGCUUUUAGAUUAUGUUGUAAUAAUAAAAUUAAAAGCACGUUUACAAUAUAAAAUUAAUUAUGAUAAAUACAAUAUAUUAAUAAUAAAUACUCAAUUACCUCUUAACAUAAUUCGCGCAUCAUGGCUUUUAGCUUAUAUUAUAAAGAUAUAAUAUGUUGUCUAUAAUAAUCGACGGAAGGUAAUAGACAACAUGUUUUACUUCUUGUCUAUAAUAAUAUAGACAGUAGAUCUAGUGUUAUAGAUAACAAUUAAUACGUGUUGUCUAUAUGAUGAUAGACACCAAAAAUCUCUGUUGUCUAUUCUAUGACAAAAAAAUUUAAAAAAAUUCUAAUAUAUUUACAUCCCUGUAUUACAAUACCAAUAUAUAUGAAAAAAUAAAAAUAAUUAAAAAUCAAAUAAUCAAACAAUACUUAUAAACCACUAAUACUCACAAUCAAAUAUUUACACAUCAACAAUUGUAUUAUCUUUAAUUACGCCUUCAUUUAUCUACUAAAAAAAAUCUCUAAUAAAAUCUCUAACUAACUCCGGUCAUCAUCUCUUGAAGGCUUAGAAAAUGUCCAAAUACAGCGGCACAUGCUCAUUAUUGUGUGAGCGAUGAGAACUUUGCGCUGAACCUAUAAAGUAACUAUACUUAACUGGUAAAGUAAUUGUAUCCCGUGAAUCUAAAGGAAGAAUAAACACGUUGAUAGAGUUUGAAAGAAAAGAAUAAAGAGAAUGAAAAUCCAAAGAAUUUGCUUCUUCCGUUGAACAAUCCCUACACAACGUUGAAAUAUCAAUGAAAACAAUGGCUAUCCUAUACUCCCUCCAUCCAUGAAAGAACUUCCUAGGAGGGAGUGACACGGGUUUUAAGAAAAAAUAUUGUUAAGUGUAUUGAGAGUGGAUAAAAGGUAGUUGAGUGUAUUGGGAGUGGUGAAAAUGUGUUAUAGUUAAUAUUGAGAGUUGUGAAAAGUGAAAAGUAAGAGGAUUAUAAGUGGUGGGGUAUAGUCCAAAAAUAGGUAGGAAGUUCUUUUGUGGACGUCCCAAAAAGGAAAGAUAUGAAGUUCUUUCGUGGACGGAGGGAGUAUUAUUUUGCAGCAGCAACCACGUUUAAAAACUCGAUCCCUCUAUUCUUGAAUUUGUGAAAUUUCCGACUGAUUUAUUAGAUUCACCAUUUAUUUCAGUUUAAUUAGUCUAUAUAUAGAUAUUUCUUAUAUUAUUAAAUUGUUAACCUCAUGGUAGAUUUCAAGAUUUGAAAAUUCAACAAAGAGCUUGAGAAUUAUAGAGAUUGGAAGGGGAAGAUGAAACAUAGUUGGGUGAAAUUAGAAACCAAUUAAAGUCAGGAGAUUGAAGAAAAACAUAACUUAAAAACACAAAAUAAGCAAAUCGUAGAUGCAGUAUCUUGCAAGAAAAAGUUCAUAUUCCCAAGGCUAUGAUGAGCACGAAUUAGGGUGUGUCUGCAUUUUAUCCCUCUAAAUGGAGGAAUAAUAAAAUUUUAUGCCUUUAAAUGUUUGCUUUCUUAUCACACAUUCUAAACAAACACCAUUUUUUCUUCCUUAUUUUCACUUCAAUGAGGGAUAAUAUUAUCCCUCCAAUUUUGGUGUGAUAAUAUUAUCCCUCCUACAAGUGAAAAUAAGGAAGAAAAAAUGGUACUCCCUUCGUCCCAAACGAAAUGUCCUGUUUUCCUUUUUGGGCUGUCCCAAACGAAAUGUCCUGUUUCCUUUUUUGGCAAUACACUCUCUCUCUAUACUUAAUAUUUAAAUAAUUUUCACCAACCCACUUUAUCUACUUUAUACACAUUUCUUAAUCUCCGUGCCGAAAAGAAAUGGGACAUUUCGUUUGGGACGGAGGGAGUAUUUGUGUAGGAUGUGGGAUAAGAAAACAAACAUUUAAAGACAUAAAUUUUUGUUAUUCCUCCAUUUAGAGGGAUAAAAAGCAAACACACCUUAGAGUCUAAUUACAAUUUAGGCGCAGGCUGUGUGAGAAUUACUUAGUCGAAUAGGAUCCUUAGUAUUUAUAUUUCUCAUGUUCUUGUGUAUUUUUUCACUGAUUCACUAUUGGAUUAACAAGAAUUAUCUUACUUUAAAAAAAAAAAAGAAAUGAUCUUACUUCAUGUAUGGUAUGCCAACUGUUCGAUAAAGGUCCUUUUAGAAAUAUUCCAUAGAUUACCUUGCAAAGACCACAAAACUAGACACACCCUGCAUAGUUUAUACAUAGGGAUGGCCGAUUGAUGAUCGUCUUAUUUGUAGACUUAACGAGAGCAGACUCGAUCGCUUAGUCCUUACUGAUUUACGACACACAUGCACACAUACACAGAUACACACAUCACAAAAUCACGCAAAUUGACGGAUAAUGUUGCCGGCCAGCUCCUUCCUGCUCCACGCCACGGCAUUUUUCUGCACCAUGGUGGCCGUGAAAUACCACGAGACGAUGUCAUGGGUGGCGACGUGUUGUCCGGUGGCGGCGGAUAGCCCGACCUGAACCUCCUGAGCAACAAAGUAGCUCAAAUCGUACUCAUAGCUGACAUCAAACGUCUGAUUGCCGGCGGUGACUUUGACGGAGAUCAUCCUUGUGGCUCCGACGUAGUUGAUCCGCGCAGUUACCUGCUGCUUGAGUAUGGAGCUGUCGACCGGCGUCGUCUUGCUGGAUACCCUAGAGCCGAAGUCGAUGCCGAUGUGGGGAUAGAGCGGAUCCCACGCGCCGUUGACGUAGGUGUCGAUUUCAACGGCGAAGACCCCGGGGCUGUUGCCGUUGGAGCCAAAGAUUCCGAGAUUGGCUCCGUCGGAGCCAGGGGGGAUGGUGGAGUCGACGGGGGCAAUGAAGAAGGCGAGGCCGUCGGCAGGCUCGUUGUCGGCGCCGGGGGUGAUGAUGAAGUUCACGGUGGUUUCGAAGUCGACCUGCCCAUUGGACAUCCAGAAUUGGACCGGUUCCGAGUACAUGACGCGGCCGACUUGGGACGGUUGUGCGUCUGUGAGGCGGAGGAAGGUGGAGUCCGUCGGGAAAUGGGCGUUGCCUUGAUAGAUGAGAUCUUUCGGCUGGUCGCCCCAGAAGUCGAAGGUGAACGACGUCGUUUGGGACAACGCCGUGUUGGAAACGGCGAGGAGGAGGGCGAUGGAGGCGAGGAGAGGAGUUAAGUUGGCCAUGGCUUAAUAGAUUUAGAUUUAGAGAUGUGGUGGAUGAUGGUGGUAUCGAUCUGUUGCACCUAUUUAUACUAGUAUGGUUCAUGCCUGAUAAUAAUUGUAUCAAUCAAUCAUCGUGCAUCUAUCCCAAAUUAUAUGUCUUAUUAUUCACUAAUUAGAUGGAAUAAAUCCUAAUUUGCAAUCUUAAAAUUAAACCGCCAAUGAGGCCUUGCUCUAGUAGCAAAGCUGUGGCACCCAAUAACUUUUCUUUGUGAAAGGUCUUGGGUUCAAUCUCGCCUGCAUGCGGUGAUGUUUGCCCACUUUAGGUGGUGUGGUAUUCUCGCCUGCGUGCGGUGUUAUAUUGUUUAGUGUUAAGGUCCCACAUGCAGGGCGUUCUUGCAUGUGUGCGUGUCACAACCCAAAACCAUUUAUUUUCUUUACAAAUUUUAUAUGAAAAUUAUUUGAUUUUUAAGUUAUAGAGUUUUCGAUAUAUAUACAUAUAGUGUCAAUUUUAUGUUAACUUAGUCGUGUCCCUAAUUAAAAGAAUGAAUUUGAAAUAAAAGUUAAGCCUUAAAAAUUUAAUCUACAUUCAUAUAUAACUGAAAUUACAUGCAUGUCUAAAUAUUAUUUAUAAUUAUCAAUAACGGGAUUAAUGAUUCUAUAUCUCUAUGUUUAUACAUAUAUUCACGUAUGACAUAGUAUAUAUUAGCUAUUAAGUUAAAUAAAAUACUACAGUUUUGCAUAGGAUAUAUAUUUAAUUAGUAGUAGGAUAGGACACGUGUAUUAAUUUUAAGGGCAAGUAAUCAAACUUUUGAAUGAUUCAUCAUGCUUAAAAAAAAGAGACCUAGAUAGAUGAUUCAUCAGAUUCAAAAACAAGUAUAAAUAGACUUCGAGUUUGAAAUUUUAAUUAAUUUGCAACAACCAUUCAAACUGACUGUAUUAAGGUAAGUAGUUACAGAUUUCAUACACAUUAUAUGAUUUCGCGCACAUACGUAUGUAUAUAUAAAUAUUUUUUAAAAUCAUAUAUUAUAUAAUAAUUAUAUUUAAGUUUUAUAUUAUUCUUUAUAAACUAUUGUUCCAUUCUAUAUAAUUAGGUGUGGCAUGACUAGGACGUAACUUUCGAUUGAAUUUCUCAAGUUAAUCUUCAAGUUCAAGUUUCAGGUGUGGGAUUUAUUUAAAUACAUGUCGUGGUUAUUUAUUAUCCAUUUUAAUAAUAUGUGUUUACCAUAUGUGUUAUGAUGCAUAUUUUGAGGAUAUCGCUAGGGGCCCAUAAAUAGGGUCCAGGACUUCACCGUCCUUGGAUUGCCACAAUGCAAUUUGAGGUUUAUUUUGAGGAUGUCGUCAGGGAUCCGUAAAUAGGGUCCAGGACUUUAAUAGUCCUUGGGUUGCCACAGUGCGAAUAUAUUGAGGAUAUAUAUGAAGUGACCGUAUGUGUUACCGUUUCAUUAACGUGGACAAUGAUUGCUUGUUCUCACACUGAGUGUACUCUGUAUGCUCAUCCCAUAUUUAACGUGGAAGGUCGAUUGACGAAUCAAAUAUUUUGUAUUUAGCUUUACCUAAAUAUGUUAUUUUGAGUAAAGUAUUUUAAAUAAAAAUUUAUUUCAUAAUUUUCUCAUUAAAUAUUUAUUUAUAUUCAUAGCUUUUCCGCACAAAUAUUUAUUUAAAUUUUAAUUAGAUUUGGGUGUCACUGUGCGGUGAUGUUUUUCCACCGUUUCGGUGGUGGUGAGGCCCCACCUGCGUGCACGUUAUAUACUUGAUUAUAUUCAGAUACCUCUUGUAAUUUUUAAAAAAAUAAUCAUAAAAUUAAACCAAAGCAUAUAAAAUUGAAAUUGGCCAAAAAAAUAUAUAAAAAUAAAUAAAAUUAAAAAUGGGAUAUAAAGUGAGACAUUAAAUGUGGUACACUACUGAAUCUCAAUCCAACACGUGGAUGCUACAUUGUACUUGUCGGAAUAUUAGAACUUCUACAAAAUAUUGCUAUUGGAAACGUGAAAUUUUAUUAUGAGAAAACUUAUACCUGACCCCACAGUCGUGGGCACGUGUUAUGUUGCGCGGAAAUUAAAGUGGUGGGGACCGUAAAUGGUAUUUUAGUCUUUUAAUUUAUUUUAGUAUACAAAAGAGUUAAUUUUAAAGAGGCGCUAAAAAACACAUCACUUUUAAAAAUUGGUAUUUAAAAUCUUGAACCCCUUUUAUUAUUUUAGAAAGAUAUUAAUUAAUUGAUAAAUUAAUAAAUUAUUAAUUGAAACAAUUAUUUUAAGCAAAUUUAAUUAUAAUUACCUAAAAAUUUAAAAAACAUAAAUUCAAUACCAUUCAAAUUCAACAAACUAACUUAAAUUUUUACUUUAAAAAAUCUUCAUCAAUCUUGCAAUCUCGGCUUGGACUAUAAAUGUUCAACAAGAGACAAUAACCAAUUUUUCAGACAUUUGUGAACAAAAUGAAGCAUGUUUAGAGAUCCUUAAUAAAGGUGUACGAAAUGAUGGAUAAAUAAGUUUGUGAAAAUUUCACCAUACCUAACCCCACAAUUAUUUGCGAUCGAAUAUCCUCGUCACAGGAAAAAGAGAUGAUGACAAAAGGGAAAAAAAAAUUAACAAAGUAGAAGAUGCAUGACAACUGUCAAGAUAAAUAAUGUUACUAAUUAAAUAAUCCAAACUUUAUACGUUUCAUAUCAUAAGUGGCAGUUCUAUAUUUUUUGCGAAAGUGAACAAAAUAACGAAUAAUUUUUAAAGUAAUAGUAAAAGGAGAUGUGUUUUGACAGAAAACGACAUGAGCGGCCUAAAAAUAAGAGGGAAAAAGAUAAUCAUAUAAAUAUUCAAAAUCAAACGGAUUGGCAUGUAUUCAUCAUUUUUUAUUUUAAUAAUUUAACAGUAUUAAAUCAAGAAAUUUAAAGACCGCGCCCCUUACUGCUUGGCUUUAAGAUUAUGUUACAAUAAUAAAAUUAACAGCACGUUUACAAUAUAAAAUUAAUUAUGAUAAAUGCAAUAUAUUAAUAAUAAAUACUCAAUUACCUCUUAACAUAAUUCGCGCAUCAUGGCUUUUAGCUUAUGUUAUAAAGAUGGAGUAUAAAAUAAUCAUCACCUGUGCAUGAUAUUUCACAAAAUAAUUAAAUAAUAAAAUAAUCAAUCAUAAUGCCAAGACGUGACUCUUGUCGGUCAUAUCUCAUCAACUUUAUCUAUAUAGUACAAUGAUGAUUAAUUUGAGAACGACGAUUAAGACACCAACUAUUCUUGUGGGGACACAUGCAUAUAUAGAAUUAAUAUUAUAAACUCUCUCGGUCCACGAAAUAACUUACUAUUUUUUCUUUUAAGAACGUGAACAAAAAAAAUUCCCAUCGAUAUUUCGGAACUAUACCCCACUACUUUAAAAUACCUCAUUUUACCCUUUCUUUUUCACAAAAACAACAAAUUACUAAUAAUUUUUCACUAUUCCUAAUAUACUGAACAAUUUUUCUCCACUCUCAAAUUUUGUAGCACCGAAUAAAAUUAAAUACUAGUAUUAUUUUUUGUAGAACUAUAAAUAAAUAUUAUUCUCAAAACAUGUACUAUUACUUACUAUUUUUUUUAAAUGUGGGACGACCAAAAAAGGAAAGAUGAAUUCUAAAAGCUGGGACAGAGGAUAUAUUAUUUUUCUUCUUGGUUCUGAAGUAUGAAUAUUAAUUAACAAUUCUUCGUCCACAUCAAGCUCACCUUCACGUAAUUUUUUCUUGAACAACACCGAAAAAUAUAUAAUCCCAACAUAGCAUGAUCAAUCUCAAUGCACCAAACAUAAAUUAGUUUUAAAAUAAUAAUAAGAUUAACUACUAUAUUGCUGAAUUAUGCAGUAGAAUUAAAAGCGUGAUUUUUUUUUAAUAGAGCAGGUUAAUCUAGGCCUACCUGAACCAUCUGACUAUGCAUGAGUUUGAUUUUUCUUCUUGAUCUUUUUUAAUUUUACCGACAAAGAAGAUUUUCACAAAUGAAAAGAAAACGUUCUAGUAACAUACUACAUGCUUACUUCAGAUUUGCAACCAAGUCUAUUGAGGGUUUUAUUUGCUACAUAUAUAAACACAAGGAUUUGGUUUGAUACAAAUUAAGAAUAUUCAACUUUCAUCGGCUCAAGCACAUAGAAUCUCCCCGAGUAGUUAUAACUGGUCAAUGUUUUUGCCGAUAAAAAGGAAAAGGAAAGAAAAAAGAAAGAAGCAAGACGGAGAAAAAGUUGUAGUAAAUGAUUAUGCGAUGAAAAGAAAAUGGAAAAGAGAAAGAAAGAAGAAAGUUGUAGGAAUUUUGAAGAAUUUGUACUUAUUUAGAAUUGUGGUUAUUGUGGGAUCUUGUAUAAUAAUAAUAAUAAUAAUAAUAAUAAUAAUAAUAAUUAUUGGGCCGUUCCACGAAUCUUGGCACAUUUUCAAAUAAGGUAAUAAUUCAUUCUCUCUCUUACUUUAUCACUUUAAUACUUUAUUAACUACAAACUUAAAACACUAAUAUACAAUUCCUUAAUUCCCGUGUCGAAACCAAACGUGUCAAGAUUCGUUGGAUGGAGGGAGUAAUAAUAAUAAUAAUAAUAAUAGUAAUAAUAAUAAUAAUAAUAAUAAUAAUACAUCAUUGCCCUUUAAAAAGUUUUAAAAUAGGAACAUAAUAUGUAAAUCUAAUUUUGUAAAAGAAGCUCUUCUAUAGUAAUAGUUAUAGAUUUGGUGUGGAGGCAUUUGUUUGAGAAUGGGUAAAACAUACCAUUAACCCUUUGAUAUAUGCACGAGACACUUAUUUGUGGAUAGGACAAGAAUUAUUUUGUUGCAUAGGAUCCCUUCCAAAUGUAAUUACUGAUUCACAAUUGGAUUAACAAGAAUUAACUUACUUCAUAUUCAGUAUUCCAACUGUUCGAUAAAAGUUCUUAAUGAAAUCUUCCAUAGAUUACCCAAAUGCAUUGUUUUGCAUAGUCCGUACAUUGAGAUGGUCGAGUAUCUUAUGUCUAGACUUAACGAGAGCAGACUCGAUCGCUUAGUCCUUAUUUAUUUACGACACACACACAUCUCAAAAUCACACAAAUUGACGAAUAAUGUUGCCAGCCAGCUCCUUCCUGUUCCACGCGCCAGCAUUUGUCUUCACCAUGGUGGCUGUGAAAUACCAUGAGAUAAUAUCAUGUUUGGCGACGUAUGGUUGGUUUAGUCCGCUGGCGGCGGAGAGCCCUACCUGAACCUGCUCAGGAAGAAACUCGCCCAAAUUGUACACAUGGCUGACCUCAAACGUCUUCGAGCCGGCGGUGGCACUGACGGUGAUCAUCUUCGUGGCUCCGACGUAGUUGAUCCGCGCAGUCACCUGCUGUCCGACUAUGGCGUCUCCGACAUUCGUCGUGUUGCUGGAUUCCCUAGAUCCGAGGUCGAUGCCGAUGUGGGGAUAGUUCGGAUCCCACGGGCUGUUGAUGAAGGUGUCGAACUCGACGGCGAAGACCGAGGGGCUAUUGCCGUUGGAGCCGAAAAUUCCGAGGUUGGCCCCAACAGCGCCACUGGGGAUGGUGGAGCCGACGGGGGCAAUGAAGAAAGCGAGGCCGUCAGCGGUUUUGCCAUCGGGGCUGGGUGUGAUGAUGAAGUUAAUGGUGGUUUCAAAGUCGACUUGGCCACCGGAUUGGGAGAACUGGACCGGCUUCGAGUACAAGACCCGGCCGACCUGGUAUGUCUCGAAGUCGGUGAGGCGGAGGAAGGUGGAGUCCGAUGGGAAAUGGGCGUGGCCUUGGUAGGUGAGAUCGGUCGGCUGGUCGCCCCAGAAGUCGUAGGUGAAGGACGUUGUUUGGGACCACACCGUGUUGGCAGCGGCGGCAAGGAGAAGGGCGAUGGAGAUUAGGGUUUGUUGAAGGUUGGCCAUCGCUUAAUUGAUUUGGAUGUGGUGGAUGAUGGUGGUAUCUUUAUCUUGCUUCUAUUUAUAGUAGUAUAACGAGCCCUAGUUAAUUAUCUUUAAAUCAUACUAAAAUAUCAUAAAUUAAAAUUGAAGAAAAAAAAGUUAAAACCUACUCUCGCAGUCCCUCAAAUAACUUCUUAGGAGAAGAGGGGUAGGAGUUUUAAGACGAAGUUAAUGUGCAAAGUAAGGAUAAA
rnacentral:lncRNA from 1 species